rnacentral:rRNA from 1 species
GACGAACGCUGGCGGCGUGCCUAAUACAUGCAAGUAGAACGCACAGUUUAUACCGUAGCUUGCUACACCAUAGACUGUGAGUUGCGAACGGGUGAGUAACGCGUAGGUAACCUGCCUGGUAGCGGGGGAUAACUAUUGGAAACGAUAGCUAAUACCGCAUAAUAUUAAUUAUUGCAUGAUAAUUGAUUGAAAGAUGCAACUGCAUCACUACCAGAUGGACCUGCGUUGUAUUAGCUAGUAGGUGAGGUAACGGCUCACCUAGGCGACGAUACAUAGCCGACCUGGGAGGGGGAUCGGCCCCACUGGGACUGAGACACGGCCCAGACUCCUACGGGAGGCAGCAGUAGGGAAUCUUCGGCAAUGGACGAAAGUCUGACCGAGCAACGCCGCGUGAGUGAAGAAGGUUUUCGGAUCGUAAAGCUCUGUUGUAAGAGAAGAACGGGUGUGAGAGUGGAAAGUUCACACUGUGACGGUAUCUUACCAGAAAGGGACGGCUAACUACGUG